UCUGUGUUGAUACUCGCGGCAGGUCGGUGGGUUCUGGCCGUUUUUCUAUCGUUACCGUCUAUUUUACGUAAAAGAAAAACAAUAACAAUUCGUUUGUCAAAAUUUUGUCCGACAUGACAUCAUGGACCAACUUGUUUUUAAUGAUAAUUAUUAUCUAUAAUCUGUGAUAAUUAUCUUGCAACGUAAAGCAUUAUUUUCAGGUACUGAGAAGGAGCUUAUUUCAUCUCAGAGUAUUGACGAGCUGCCAUCUGUUUCAAAUAAUUUAGAAGAGCAGGAAUUUCUAGGAGCAUCAGAAGCAAAGACAGAAAAAACUAAGCUUUCUAAAACAAAUGAAAGAAUAUUAAGUGGAAGGAACUGAAGAGCAUAUAUGGAUACAAACCCAAUCAAAAUUGCACCGAUUGAAAUUUUCAAUUAUAGGAAAAAAAGGAUCGAAAAGGGUUCAAAAAUACUUUGAUAAGGAUAUUAUACAUUAAAACUAUCCCCAUUUCGAUCUCCACAGUCCCCCUGUCUCAAAUUUCCUUCACUAAUACACUUAACUUUUUGCCAUUCCAGUUUAAUUUUUCUACUUUUUUUUAAUAAUAAACGCAAUUUAUUGACCCAAGGGCCAAAUGGCCAUCGACAGUAUUAGUCCUACAGCCAGGUAAAUUUACAAUAACUGAAAUAUAAGAUUAAACAAUGUUUGUAGAUAAAUAGUUUGGAGAUUUAACAUUUGGACGGAAAGAAAAAAAAAAAAAACAUUAUAUUAUAGUGGUGAAUCAACUAGAUUUUGAAGUGGUAAUCAUUGAUUGGCAUCUUCAGUGGGCAGGACUGUCUCUGAACUCCUCAAGAUGUUCUCUGAUGGUCUUUAGAGGAUAUUUUGCUCUGGGCAUGGAAUGCUGGUUUCGUUGGAUUAAGUGUGGUUCCAGGAUUUCCCAGUUGUUCGGCCUUUGGGCAAAUUUCAUGGACAGCUUCCUGAUUCUGUCUGCUAUAGGCUCAACCCUAAGCAACUUAUACAGCAAUGGGUUUGGAGGAUUGUGUAACGGAUUAUUCGGAUACUUUUUUUUUUUUUUUUUUUUUUUUAUUUAACAGUUAUUCCAAUAUUUUGAAUCUCAAGAUGUACAAUAGACUUAACUUUUUGCCAUUCCAGUUUCAUUUUUCUACUUUUUUUUAUUUAACAGUUAUUUCAAUAUUUUGAAUCUCAAGAGUGUUUGAUAUCGCUGUGCGAUAUCACACACUCAACUUUCAAACUGGCUCUAACUCUCAUUUACAAAAGCAAGCAUUCUGAAUAGAAUCCCAUUUGAAAUUCUCGCGAAAGCUUUUAGUACUGGAGGGUAGAUGCUUGAGACCGCUGUUAAUUGUUGAACCAGUGCCAUGCAGGCUCGUGGGGCAUCUAGAGAACUAGUUUAUCUAUGGCAAUAAGCGCGUUCGGUUAUUACCUCGGACCGCUCGGACUUGUCUGAACCGUUCUUUUAUUACAUCCAGAUUGAGGGGAAUACACAUCUGGAGCGUUCGGCAAAGAUAUCUGAGCAAUCAGAUGUCAAUCUUUUUCGUCAGAUGUUUUCGACCUAGCAAAACGAUUUUAUCCAUAGAGUUUACCUUUGUCUAUCGAUUAUUGGAUUUUAUCUGUCUUUUAUGUUUGUUUAUUUAUAAAAAUUAACAUUUCGUCGUAGUUUGUAUUGAAAAAUUUCAAUACCUAACUUGUUAUACUUCUAUAAUUGGAUUUUAAAUAAAAUUAUGGGUAUGGAAAGCAGAUAACAAAUGAAUAGGCAGUGUGUAUAUUUUUGGAAUGAGAUAUCUGGGGGUGACUUUGGACAAUAUCAUUAGUAAGACUUUGGGGACAGAUAAUUUUUUCGUGUAAUUAUAUAAAGCGUUGUGCAUGUUCAGUUUAUUCAGAAGAGCGAUGGACAUUCAAGCUAGGGAUAUGAAGAAAAAGGCCAAGCUUUUAAAAAAGCUGACCAUGUUUACAAUAUAUGAAGUGGACUGGUUUCAUUACUUCUAAAUAAAUGAGACAGACUUCAGUGAAUUUUCCACCUUAUUAUAUCGAAAUUAUGUAAUGGAUGAAGCAGAAGAAAUUUACUCCUUCAAGGGUAUCGACUGGGACAUAAGUGUCCCAGAAGUAUUUUAUAAAUGUCCUGUUCGGCAAUAAAUAUACCCAGCAUGGAAUCAAUUGGGAAUAUAAAGCCAGAUCAGUGUAUUCAAGUUUCAGAGAAAAAAUACCAUAUACAGGAAAAGGACUUGAAGUUUGUCAGUCGGACCCGAGGCUUGUUGCUUUUCUGAAUGGUGUUAUUUUCAAGAAUGGGGAGUCAGUGAAAUUAUUGGAAAUCAAAUGUCUAUUCAUUGGUCAAAUUAUUUCUGCUGAAAAUACUGAGCCAAUAUUUGAGAAGAGGAAAAGCCAGCUAAUUUGAAAGAAUGAAUAAACAUUAUGCUAGAGCCUGAUGAAGUAUGGCAAUUAUGAAUUUGAAAAAUUGCGACUCUAUAGUGUUCUCAUCUGGUGAUAAGAUGUUCAAAACUGUUAGUGAGCCAUUUGAUGAAGAAUUCACAAAAAAAUAAUUCUUAAAACUUGAAAUGAUUCAUUUUAAAAAUAUGCUUUACACAUUGUGUAGUAUGAAAGUUUAAAUUUUUCAAUUAGAAAGAUAUUUUUUCAAGCCUUAAUUAUGCUGUAAUAAGACCAUCCAGAAUAAGAAAAGUUUCGAAUCAUACAUGUCUGAAGUUAUACAUGUUAUAACUUCCAGAUUAUUGAAAAAUUUGAGUCCAGUUGUUAUUAGUAAGAGAGUAAAGGAUUUGCUAUUGGAUCAUACAAUAUACAGGUUGAGUGAUUUAUUUAGGAAUCAUUUUUGUAAAUAUUAUUUGAUAAUUUGUAACUACAAACAUAUUUAUGUUUUCAUUACAAUGACUAUUAAUACUACUCAUUUAUAGUUUAAGGUUUUUUGAUUGACAAGCCAUGUAAACUUUUGAUGGCGUAUGUUUUUAUGAAUUUCUUGUGUGCAAAUAAAAUAU